rnacentral:rRNA from 1 species
AGUCGAGCGGAGAUAUAGUGCUUGCACUAUAUUUUAGCGGCGGACGGGUGAGUAAUACUUAGGAAUCUGCCUAUUAAUGGGGGACAACAUCUCGAAAGGGAUGCUAAUACCGCAUACGCCCUACGGGGGAAAGCAGGGGAUCACUUGUGACCUUGCGUUAAUAGAUGAGCCUAAGUCGGAUUAGCUAGUUGGUGGGGUAAAGGCCUACCAAGGCGACGAUCUGUAGCGGGUCUGAGAGGAUGAUCCGCCACACUGGGACUGAGACACGGCCCAGACUCCUACGGGAGGCAGCAGUGGGGAAUAUUGGACAAUGGGGGGAACCCUGAUCCAGCCAUGCCGCGUGUGUGAAGAAGGCCUUAUGGUUGUAAAGCACUUUAAGCGAGGAGGAGGAGCUCUAGGCUAAUAUCCUAGAUGCUUGGACGUUACUCGCAGAAUAAGCACCGGCUAACUCUGUGCCAGCAGCCGCGGUAAUACAGAGGGUGCGAGCGUUAAUCGGAUUUACUGGGCGUAAAGCGUACGUAGGCGGCUUUUUAAGUCGGAUGUGAAAUCCCUGAGCUUAACUUAGGAAUUGCAUUCGAUACUGGGAAGCUAGAGUAUGGGAGAGGAUGGUAGAAUUCCAGGUGUAGCGGUGAAAUGCGUAGAGAUCUGGAGGAAUACCGAUGGCGAAGGCAGCCAUCUGGCCUAAUACUGACGCUGAGGUACGAAAGCAUGGGGAGCAAACAGGAUUAGAUACGCUGGUAGUCCAUGCCGUACACGAUGUCUACUAGCCGUUGGGGCCUUUGAGGCUUUAGUGGCGCAGCUAACGCGAUAAGUAGACCGCCUGGGGAGUACGGUCGCAAGACUAAAACUCAAAUGAAUUGACGGGGGCCCGCACAAGCGGUGGAGCAUGUGGUUUAAUUCGAUGCAACGCGAAGAACCUUACCUGGUCUUGACAUAGUA